CCUACGGGAGGCAGCAGUGGGGAAUAUUGCACAAUGGGCGCAAGCCUGAUGCAGCGACGCCGCGUGCGGGAUGACGGCCUUCGGGUUGUAAACCGCUUUCAGCAGGGAAGAAGCUUUUGUGACGGUACCUGCAGAAGAAGCGCCGGCUAACUACGUGCCAGCAGCCGCGGUAAU
rnacentral:rRNA from 1 species